UUCGGCAGCCAUUUUGAUCUGUCAUUUGAGCCAGAGAUCCACCCGGUGAAACAUCUUUUUUAUCUCACGUCAUUCAUCCGUGUAAGCCUUGGAGAAGCUUUGUUUUUUCACACUUCUAAACCUGCAACAACUUGUUCAACAACAAUCAAUAAAUGGACAUUCAAGUGGAUGUCGACAACAUC